GUUAUACUAAUUUUAAACUUUAGUGCUUACAUGUGAGGAGGCCUAAUAUUCAUGAAACACAGAUUGAAUAUUUUUCUGCAGGACGUUUGUUCUUGAAUGCCACCUCGGGAACACAUUUAUUUUCCGACAAGGCAACUGAUGCAGGGGAAAUUCAAUUUUAGGAUACAUGCUGGUUUCCAAAGCCAUUGGGAUCACCCAUGUUCCAUCAUUGCUGAGAGGUUCAAAAUAUAAGAUUGAAUUUGUCUGCACUGGAAUGGUGACUGAUAUCAAACUGGAGAAAAGCUGGUGUUACGUCUCUUGCCCAAGGUGCACAAAGAAGCUCCAACGAACGGUGUCAUCCUUGCGUGACCUGCAGUAACACCACGCAUCAAACCAUUGCAGGAACAUCUCUAAGUGGUCGCCAUCAAGAAACCUUAGGCAUCAAAGUCUUCAAAGGUGGUCAAGAAGCCACGUAAGGAAUAAGUGAAGAUGAGGGUUGUGAUGCGGAUGGAGUACUUGCUGUUUCAAUAAUGAUUGUGUGUUAA